UACAGAGGUCUCAAGCGUUGUUCGGAUUCAUUGGGCGUAAAGGGUGUGUAGGUGGCGCCGUAAGUCAGGUGUGAAAUUUCGGAGCUCAACUCCGAAACUGCAUUUGAUACUGCGGUGCUUGAGGACUGGAGAGGAGACUGGAAUUUACGGUGUAGCAGUGAAAUGCGUAGAUAUCGUAAGGAAGACCAGUGGCGAAGGCGGGUCUCUGGACAGUUCCUGACACUGAGACACGAAAGGCCAGGGGAGCAAAACGGGG
rnacentral:rRNA from 1 species